AAUGAACGUUGGCGGCAUGGAUUAGGCAUGCAAGUCGAGCGAGAAGUGUAGCAAUACACGGAAAGCGGCGGAAGGGAGAGUAAUACGUGGGAAUCUGCCCUUAGACCUGGGAUAGCAGCGGGAAACUGCUGGUAAUACCAGAUAAUGUCUAUGGACCAAAGGUGUGAUUCCGUCUAGGGAUGAGCCCACGUCCUAUUAGCUAGUUGGUAGGGUAAUGGCCUACCAAGGCGAUGAUGGGUAGCGGGUGUGAGAGCAUGACCCGCCUCACUGGGACUGAGAUACUGCCCAGACACCUACGGGUGGCUGCAGUCGAGAAUCUUCGGCAAUGGGCGCAAGCCUGACCGAGCGAUGCCGCGUGCGGGAUGAAGGCCUUCGGGUUGUAAACCGCUGUCGAGGGGGAGCAACUUCCAUAGAGUUAUCUUUAUGGAUUGGGUGAUCCCUGGAGGAAGGACGGGCUAAGUUCGUGCCAGCCGCCGCGGUAAAAC
rnacentral:rRNA from 1 species